rnacentral:rRNA from 1 species
GAUGAACGCUGGCGGCGUGCCUAAUACAUGCAAGUCGAGCGAACAGACGAGGAGCUUGCUCCUCUGACGUUAGCGGCGGACGGGUGAGUAACACGUGGAUAACCUACCUAUAAGACUGGGAUAACUUCGGGAAACCGGAGCUAAUACCGGAUAAUGUAUUGAACCGCAUGGUUCAAUAGUGAAAGACGGUUUUGCUGUCACUUAUAGAUGGAUCCGCGCCGCAUUAGCUAGUUGGUAAGGUAACGGCUUACCAAGGCAACGAUGCGUAGCCGACCUGAGAGGGUGAUCGGCCACACUGGAACUGAGACACGGUCCAGACUCCUACGGGAGGCAGCAGUAGGGAAUCUUCCGAAAUGGGCGAAAGCCUGACGGAGAAACGCCGCGUGAGUGAUGAAGGUCUUCGGAUCGUAAAACUCUGUUAUUAGGGAAGAACAAAUGUGUAAGUAACUAUGCACGUCUUGACGGUACCUAAUCAGAAAGCCACGGCUAACUACGUG